GAAAUGUCAGAGCCCCAGGCUGUCUUUGCCUUAUUAUUUCCCUGGCAUUUGAUUCCAACCUCUUCAAACAGCAACCAGUUCUGUCAGAGGUUUCUCUCCAACUGAUUAGUGCACAUUGGUUUGUUUAACCCUUGUUGUGCUGGACACAAUUUUGUUAGUCCCUCUUUGGAUCCGAUCCAACUGCCUACCCAAGCACUGUGAAUACCAUACUUGGAUUGACUGGUUGGUGCGGCUCCGUUUUGGGAUGCAUGCUAGAUUCGGUACAAACACUGUGGAAUUUCUUUUCACAGUUUGAUUUAAUGGCACACAGCGGAUUUUAAUGCGAUUGGAUGUUUUCGGACCUGGAUAGCUUGUUGCACUGCCCUUGAUGAAGCUCAAUGAGCGAAACAUGUCGGGGUUCUUCCAACAGGUUCUUUUGCUACUGUUAUAGUCGCCAAUAUCAUCUAUGAGACCAUCCAUGUCUUGUUUUGUAUUUUGUAUUUAAAAAUUUAAUAUGUAUGUUUGAAUAAAUUAUUACUUUUAUAUU